UUCCGGUUGAUCCUGCCGGAGGCCACUGCUAUGGGGGUCCGACUAAGCCAUGCGAGUCAUGGGGGUGUCCCUUCUGGGACACCACCGGCGGACGGCUCAGUAACACGUCGGUAACCUACCCUCGGGAGGGGGAUAACCCCGGGAAACUGGGGCUAAUCCCCCAUAGGUGUGGGGUACUGGAAGGUCCCCACACCGAAAGAAGCUUCGUGCCCGCCCGAGGAUGGGCCGGCGGCCGAUUAGGUAGUUGGUGGGGUAACGGCCCACCAAGCCGAAGAUCGGUACGGGCCAUGAGAGUGGGAGCCCGGAGAUGGACACUGAGACACGGGUCCAGGCCCUACGGGGCGCAGCAGGCGCGAAACCUCCGCAAUGCGGGAAACCGCGACGGGGGGACCCCCAGUGCCGUGGCAACGCCACGGCUUUUCCGGAGUGUAAAAAGCUCCGGGAAUAAGGGCUGGGCAAGGCCGGUGGCAGCCGCCGCGGUAAUACCGGCGGCCCGAGUGGUGGCCGCUAUUAUUGGGCCUAAAGCGUCCGUAGCCGGGCCCGUAAGUCCCUGGCGAAAUCCCACGGCUCAACCGUGGGGCUUGCUGGGGAUACUGCGGGCCUUGGGACCGGGAGAGGCGGGGGGUACCCCUGGGGUAGGGGUGAAAUCCUAUAAUCCCAGGGGGACCGCCAGUGGCGAAGGCGCCCCGCUGGAACGGGUCCGACGGUGAGGGACGAAGGCCAGGGGAGCGAACCGGAUUAGAUACCCGGGUAGUCCUGGCUGUAAAGGAUGCGGGCUAGGUGUCGGGCGAGCUCCGAGCUCGCCCGGUGCCGUAGGGAAGCCGUUAAGCCCGCCGCCUGGGGAGUACGGCCGCAAGGCUGAAACUUAAAGGAAUUGGCGGGGGAGCACUACAAGGGGUGGAGCGUGCGGUUUAAUUGGAGUCAACGCCGGGA
rnacentral:rRNA from 1 species